rnacentral:rRNA from 1 species
UUUUCCUACGGGGCGCAGCAGUGAGGAAUAUUGGUCAAUGGGCUUACGCCUGAACCAGCCGAGUCGCGUGAGGGAAGACUGCCCUAUGGGUUGUAAACCUCUUUUGUCAGGGAGCAACGCCGGCUACGUGUAGCCGGACUGAGAGUACCUGAAGAAAAAGCAUCGGCUAACUCCGUGCCAGCAGCCGCGGUAAUACGGAGGAUGCGAGCGUUAUCCGGAUUUACUGGGUGUAAAGGGAGCGUAGGCGGCUGUGUAAGCCAGAAGUGAAAGCCCGAGGCUCAACCACGGGACUGCUUUUGGAACUA